GACGAACGCUGGCGGCGUGCCUAAUACAUGCAAGUAGAACGAAGUGGGGACGGGUGAGUAACACGUGGGUAACCUCCCAUCAGAGGGGAUAACACUUGGAAACAGGUGCUAAACCGACAGCGAUGGAUUGACUAGCGGUGCAUUAGCUAGUUGGGGAGGUAACGGCUCACGAAGGCCACGAUGCAUCUGCGUCCUGAUGGGGUGAUGUGCCAAACUGGGACUGGGACACGGCCUAUACUCCUACGGGUGGCAGCAGUAGGUAAACUUCGGCAAUGGACGAAAGUCGGACCGAGCAACGCCGCGUGAGUGAAGAAGGUUUUCGGAUCUUAAAACUCUGUUGUUAGAGAAGCGGUAUCUAACCAGAAAGCCACGGCUAACUACGUGCCAGCCGCCGCGGUAAUAC
rnacentral:rRNA from 1 species